GCUGGUAACUUGGCACAAGCAAGCAUUGUCUGCUUUGUUGUACAUUAGUGGAAGAAAUCAGCGCGAAUUUUUUGGAUGACGAAGUGUCCCUGGCAGGAGGGAGGGGAAGCAGAAUGUUACACAGGCUGACUUUGUUUUGCUGCACCCUGACUGAAAAUUCAGGCCAGGAUUGGCAUCACUAACUGGUACUUGACCACACAGUCAUUUUCAUAUCCCGAAGCCUUCUCUUCUUUAAGGUUGAUGCUGUGUGGCUUCUAAAAGCACAAGGAAUAGAAAGGCAAAAUUCCACUCCGACAUUGCACUCUGCUAUGGGCAGCAGCCAAGUUUGUGAGCAGCAGCAGCAGCAACAGAUAUGUUCCAUUUCUACUCUCAACAACUCCAAUCAGCAUGGCCCAUGGCAAGAGAUGAUGAAACUCACAAUCAACAAUACUGGAAGGGUCCCAACGGAGGUAGCCGUGCCAGCAAGGAGCCUCCACGGCACUGGAGUUCCAGUAAACGAGGCUCUGAAAGCAAUUUCUGCAUAGUUUCCUGGUGCAAGGUGAUUUGAGUUGACAGUUCCUGCAAAGAUGAAAAGCUACAGAUGACAACAGAGCAAAGGUGAUAGGCAGGGCCAACAAAAUGAGAAAAGUCCCACAAAGACUGACAUGAUAGCAAGUACUUUAGUAUGCCGUGAAAAAUUAACAAGCCUCCUACCACUACAAAAGAAGCCCACUGGACCUCUGAACAUUCUAUGCUUUAAAGAUCAAUGCAUUUGCUAUAGUUUUAUUAUUUAGCUUGUUUCUUUUAGUCACAGGGAACAACAGAUGUCUAUUCAAAUUCCACUUGGAAAACUAUUUCCGAUGAAUGACCUAGUUCUUAUGAAUAACAAGCUUAUUUUUCACUGAGAUGGUAAACAUUAGUUGGCUUGUACCACUUCUAAUUGAAAAUUUGGCUCUUAGUACUGACUGCCUCUUCACUCUAAAUAAAAAUAGUCCUUCCUUUAAGAAAACUGGAAGACUAGAAUUUUAUACACCAGACAUCUUUAUCUUAUUAUGUUUCUGGGAAGAAUGUACCACAUGGUUCUAAACCAUGAAAGCCAGCCUGGUGAAUUUGGGCCAGUCAUCUCUUAGCCCAACCCAACUCACAGGGUUGUUGUGGGGAAAAUAGGAAGAGAAAGUUGUAUUGGAUAUGUUUGCUACCUUGAGUUAUUUGUAAAAAUAAUAAAGAUGGGAUACAAUAAAUAAAUGCAUGAAUAAAUACAUCUUGUGGUCUAAAGUA